CUUUCAGAAGUGACUCUCCAGGGGAGCUAAAAUCCAUGUAUUUGGGCACACACUUGAACAAUAUUGCUAGAGAAAUUUAAGCAAGAGCACAAAGGUAUGUGAUUUUACAAGCUCUCAAUGACUGUAUGACUAUAUAGCUGAUUCAAGUUUUUUUUUUUUUGAAAACCCAAGAGCCUGUUCCUUUUUCUUUUAAGUGUCCUUAUGUUUUGAGUUUCCCCAAGAAAAUGCCUUUUGUGGUUCCAAGUUUCUCAUUUUUAAUUCAUUCUACUAAGUAUUUAUAUAGUUCCAGGAUAUGCUGUCAGCAUGAACAUAUCUUAGAAUCCCUGAUCCCCUCCCCUUUCUUACAAAUGGAAGUUUUAUUUGGGGAUUUUUAGAAAAAACCUUUUCAUGCAGAUAUUGCACAUCCGAUUCUUUUGAUGCUUUGAAGAACUGUUCCUUGGGAAAUGGACUCAGGAUGCAUCAUUUCUGGGGGUGUGGGGAAGUUCCAUUUGGAACCAUGAGUUAAUGAACAAGGGGACCAACCAGCUUUGAGGGAAGUAGUCCUAGUUGUUCUUUUGUGUGAGGAUUGGUAUAGUGCUUUUAUCAUCUGUGCCUUACAAAGUUUACAACAAUCAAUAUUUUAAAACAUCUUUACAGAAAAUGAAACUGUGAACUCCUCAUACUGCAUCUGAGAGCUGAUUUGGCAUUUUAUAAAUAGGCAUAUGAUGUCUAAAUUACUUGUAAUAUAAACUAAGAGCAUCCUCAGCAUUGAUGAUGGUUGCAUAUGAUCCAGAAUUAUAAUGAUGAAUAAUGCAUUGGGUUUCAUUGUUCUCUGUGAUUGCCCACUUUGUUAUGCAGGGACGGAUUUCCACGACAGUGUCCCAGAUUUGAAUUGUACAGUUUUUUUUUUUUGUAGUAGCUUCCCCAGAAUGAUGUAAGCUCAUUGGAAAUAUUCACAGAAAUCCUUGCUCUCUGUGCUUCAUGGAGAUGCAAUCUCAGAACUUUCUCCAAGGACUGGCUCAUCAAGUAUAAUUUAACAUGUCUUAUGAUCUGGAUCGCCUGUUUUGCAUGGAUAGAGCUUGUCAAAGCACAAAUCCUUGCAUCCUUGAUACAUUUGAACAAAUAAUAAUAUUUUAGUCAUUAUUUGGAGAAGAACAAUAUUGAGUUUUUAUACAAAUAAGAUAAAGCAUAUAAAAGGGCUGGAUGAACUAUAUAUGUCACUCAAACACGAGGCGUACAGUGUUUUAGAUUUGCAUGUCCCCCAAGAAGGCUGCGUCUCCCCCAGUCUCCAUUAGGUUCAAGGGCAAAGAUUUGUUUCAAGGACCCUGUAAGAAGAAACUUGAUUUUGGAGCCACAGGGUAGGUUAGGGGGUGAGCAACAGGAAGAGUGGCUUAAAGCACAGUGUUUUAUAUUUCUCCUUUACUGUGACUGAAUAGGCUCUAACAUCUGGACCAGGGCUAGCCUAGAGUUAGAGUAAGAUAGCUCCCGCCCUGGAGGCUGAGGCAACACCAGGCGGGAAAGCAGGUUGGUGGUGGGGUGAUGGUAGCGGUGGCGAAUAAAUGGCCUUUCCUCCACCCCCACCCAAAGUCUGGACUAAUUGGGAAAUAGAUGGAGGGAUCAGGUAGAUGUAAAUCAAAGCAUCAGCUUUAUUACUGAAAACACCUGGGUUGAAGAAACUGGCUUAUAUUUGCAGACAAAGGAGAUUGUUUAUGCUCCCUCACAUUAAAUUUGAGAUGGAUUGGAUACAGAAAGUGAAGGGAAAAGAUGAAGCAGGGAUAAUUCCUAGAUUUUUGAGUUGGGCACUCAGACGACAGAGCAGGGGCAUCACUGUCUUGGACAAACACCACCAUUUUAAGUUCCCCUUGAUUAAAAACUGCCUAAAUCCAGCCCCAGAAAGCAUCAGCAUAAUGGCUAAUGUCAGCAUGACCUUAAACCACAAGUGACACUCCCGCUAGAAAUAUUCCAACCCUGAGAUGAGCCCCCUCUGACCAGAAACAUGCCAGCCCCGAGAUAACCUCCCCUCCGACCGGAGGCAUUCCAACCUGGCAAUAAAACUCUCCUCCACACAGAAACAUUCUGAGCCUGCGAUAAGCUCUCCCUCCCCAGACCCUUACAUACCCUUAGUCUAUAAGAGAAAAUGCUCCUGACUGAAAUCGGCCAGAAGCCCCUUUCAGGUUUAUUCUCCAAAGUAAACCUGUUUUUGUCUGUUAAGCUGCUUUUUGUGUCUUUCUUCUCUCUUCAACUCUUACAAUAGAUACUGGUGGUAUAUUAAGAUGGGAAGGAGUGGGUUUUGAAGGGUUUGGAGGAAUCAAAAAUUGUUUUGGCUAUGGUACAUUUUGAGAUUCUCAUAAGACCUUUAUGUGGAAAUGUCAAGCAGAAAGUUAGUCUUUGAUCUGGCAGUGCAUGCUAGUUCUUUAUGGUGUAGGGAAUUUACAGGAUUCAAAGAGUAACUGAAUUGCAGAACUUGAAAAACGCAUUAAAAGGCAUAGGGUUCAUUUUAACUAGAUUCAGAUUGGUGCAGGCAUCAUUGAGCACAGCCAGUAUUGUUAAGAUUAUAAACUGGAUUGUCUGAUCUCCAGACCCUGUUGUAGGGUUUGCUAUUUUUUUUAGUAAUGAAUUUUUAGUAGACACAUUUUUCCCCCACCUACCAAAUUAUCUCCUAAUAAGCCAUUCCAGUCAUUACUGGAAGGCACAGCAAGCAAGCAGUGAUUUUGGUAUAAGAGAUAGUGUAAUAAGAUAGCAGGAAGGAGCAGAUCUUUUACAUUCCUAUUUCUGAGGUAGUUUCUUUCAUCUUGAAAGGACUAUUCUUGCAAUUGGAAAUAAGGUAAAAGAAAAUGAGAAUAUAUGACAUUUCCAUUAUUUUUUAAGCUACAUGUUUAUUGUUAUCAUAUGUUGAGUCUGCCUUAUGAAAUUUUUGUAUUGGAAUUAUUCCUUUCUGUACAAUUAAUUAGCCCAGUGUUUUCUUGAUAUUUGCUGUUUGCAAAAUAUUAGACUGAAUGUCUGAUAGACAUGUUCUGAAAUGCUCUAAAGACAAGCUUCUAAAGUUAGAGCAUUCUGACUUUAGUCAGUUGCCUAAGUAAAAUUUGAAGACUAAGGAGAGAGAAUGAGUAUGAAUCAGCUAUGAAUUGAGGUGUCUUUGAUGGACCCAGCUACAGCUGGGAAGAUGUUUGCCCCAAGUUGGCCUGGAUAUUCCCUAAACCCCUUCCCCAUCUGGUGCAGCCCGUUUUAUAGACAAAAGUCAGGACAGGAUAGAUGAACAGCAAAAAGGAGAGAAUAUUUCUUCUGCAGUAAAGGGAAAAUUCUGAGACAUUUUAGUGGCAGAAUGAUGACUGAAUUAGAGAUGAGCAAUUUGAAUGCUUUCCCUCAUAAAUCUCACUCAGAAGGGAAAUACAAGACAGUUUCACUUAGAGACAAGACUACAGCAAUCCUAAGAGACAGGACAUAUUGAUACCAAAAUGACAAAUGCAAUUUUAGCUACAAGAAUGCUCUGUCAUCUGCCAGCUGAGCCAAUGACUUGGCUAAAAUCUGGGAAAGAGUAAAGAAUUGAAAUGAAAGCACUAGCAGAAAAGAAAAGGUUUGCCAAACGAAAUCUGAAGUCAGCUCAAGCAAUAAAGUCUUGGACUAGUGGUUUCUCCCUUAAUAGCGCCUAACUUUGGUGUUGCAUCUUGCAUUUUAUACUGACUUGUUGUCAAAUAGUUAUUUUCAGGGUAGAAUAAGAAAUUAGAAAAUGGAUGGAAAAAUAUAGAAACCUGUUGUAAAGUUAUAUUGCUUGCUUCUGCCCAGGAAUAAUGCAUGACAUUUAAUCUGUAUACUAGUUCAGCGUCACUGUGGGUCAUUUAUAUCUGUCUUUAUCAACAAUACCUGUCUUAGGUUGAAAACUGCAUGUUAGAGAUUUUGCCUACUGCCAAAUUGCAAAGCAGACACAUGGUCCUUUUGAUAUUUUUCUUUUUAUGCCAUUUCUUUUUUACUGUCUUUUGGGUAUCAAGUGCCUCAUUCAUUCAUUUAUUCACCCACUCAUAGAAUUUUAAUGGAUUAUGUGCAAUGUGCAAGGCACUGGGUUGAUGGUUAGGGGAGGUGAUUGAGUGAGGUAAAUGUGUGAUCGAGGCAUACAGCAAUGCAGGAAAAGCAUGAAAGAAGACACUAACUUGCUUGUGAUUCUCCCAAAACUGGCUUUUAUUUGUACUUUGGUGUAAUUCCAUUCACUUAUCCCAGGAAUUGACAUGAAAGCAGCCUCACAAAAUGGGAUACAAUGUAAAUUGUUGGUGAUGCUGCUAAUUGACUUUCUCAUUGUAUUUUUCAUGAGAAUCCCCAGAAGGUGGUUCCAUCUGCUCUUAAUACCAAGACAGUUCUUCUGUGUAAUUGGUAAGAUUUUAUCUUAUGGAUAAUGUAAUACUGUAACUGACAAUGCUUCCUUUUCUAUUCAGCAAGCCAAGCACAGUGUGUAAGUCAUUUUUAUAUCUGUCUGUCUACCCAGCAUCUAUCUAUCCCAUCAUCAAUCUCUAUCUAUCUCAGUCUUGUUUUGCUCAAUACCUUCACAUUUGUAUGUCUUUUAUUUUCAUUUAAAGCAUGGCAUAUACAUAGAAGAGUACAAAAUUAUAGGGAUGAAGCUCAAAGAAUUUUCACAAAGUGGUUUUCAUAACUGUGUAACCACUUCCAGAUCAGGAAAUAGAACAUUACCAUACACAGAAGUUUCCCUUUUUCUACUAUGGUCAUGAUCCAGCCCCUCCCCAAAGUGAGCCACUAUCUUGACUAGUAUUGCCUUUCUGAUGAAUGUGGAUUGGUAUCUAAUUGUGAUUGGAAUUUGUAUUUGCUUGGUGACAAAUGAUGUUUAGCAUUAUAUAUUGUCCUGUGUAUGUAUUGAAAAUAGCUUCUCAUCACGCUGUGGCUUGCCUUUUCACCCUUUUAACGAUGGCUUUUGAUGACCAGGAACUUAUAGAUUUUACUUGAUCUUUUCAAGAAAUCAAAUUUUUGCUUUGAUAUUGUUUUCUGCUUUUGGUUGGCUUCCUAUUUUAUUCUUUUCUGCUCUUAUGUUGUUUAUUUUCUUCCUCCUGUUUUCUCUGGAUAAUUUGCU
rnacentral:lncRNA from 1 species